rnacentral:sRNA from 1 species
AAAUUGCGUUAGUGAUGGAAACGGCAUCCUUUUGCUACAUGAAAUGAAGCAAAAGAUAAAGUGUACAGCACGACCUGAA